rnacentral:rRNA from 1 species
UACAGAGGUCCCAAGCGUUGUUCGGAUUCACUGGGCGUAAAGGGUGCGUAGGCGGUCGGGUAAGUCUGUCGUGAAAUCUCCGAGCCCAACUCGGAAACUGCGUCGGAUACUAUUCGGCUAGAGGAAUGGAGGGGAGACUGGAAUUCUCGGUGUAGCAGUGAAAUGCGUAGAUAUCGAGAGGAACACCAGUGGCGAAGGCGAGUCUCUGGACAUUUCCUGACGCUGAGGCACGAAAGCGUGGGGAGCAAACAGG